GACGAACGCUGGCGGCGUGCCUAACACAUGCAAGUCGAGCGGGGAAAACCCUUCGGGGUUUUUCCAGCGGCGGACGGGUGAGUAACGCGUGAGCAAUCUGUCCCAUACAGGGGGAUAACAACUGGAAACAGUUGCUAAUACCGCAUGAGACCACAGAGUCGCAUGGCUUAGGGGUCAAAGGAGCAAUCCGGUAUGGGGUGAGCUCGCGUCCGAUUAGAUAGUUGGUGAGGUAACGGCCCACCAAGUCAACGAUCGGUAGCCGACCUGAGAGGGUGAUCGGCCACAUUGGAACUGAGACACGGCCCAGACUCCUACGGGAGGCAGCAGUGGGGGGAUAUUGCACAAUGGGGGAAACCCUACGAUGCAGCAACGCCGCGUGAGGGAAGAAGGUCUUCGGAUUGUAAACCUAAAGUUG
rnacentral:rRNA from 1 species